rnacentral:tRNA from 1 species
GGAGAGGUGCCGGAGUGGCCGAACGGGGCGGUUUCGAAAACCGCUGUGUCCCGAUGAGGGGCACCGGGGGUUCGAAUCCCCCCCUCUCCGCCA